rnacentral:rRNA from 1 species
AAAUUGAAGAGUUUGAUCAUGGCUCAGAUUGAACGCUGGCGGCAGGCCUAACACAUGCAAGUCGAACGGUAACAGGAAACAGCUUGCUGUUUCGCUGACGAGUGGCGGACGGGUGAGUAAUGUCUGGGAAACUGCCUGAUGGAGGGGGAUAACUACUGGAAACGGUAGCUAAUACCGCAUAACGUCGCAAGACCAAAGAGGGGGACCUUCGGGCCUCUUGCCAUCGGAUGUGCCCAGAUGGGAUUAGCUUGUUGGUGGGGUAACGGCUCACCAAGGCGACGAUCCCUAGCUGGUCUGAGAGGAUGACCAGCCACACUGGAACUGAGACACGGUCCAGACUCCUACGGGAGGCAGC